rnacentral:rRNA from 1 species
UACGUAGGGGGCGAGCGUUGUCCGGAAUCACUGGGCGUAAAGGGCGCGUAGGUGGUGGCUUAAGCGUGCGGUGAAAGCUCGGGGCUCAACCCCGAGUCGGCCGUGCGAACUGGGCUCACUGGAGCAUAGUAGAGGCAGGUGGAAUUCCGGGUGUAGCGGUGGAAUGCGUAGAGAUCCGGAAGAACACCGGUGGCGAAGGCGGCCUGCUGGGCUAUGGCUGACACUGAGGCGCGACAGCGUGGGGAGCAAACAGG